GUCUAUGGCCAUGUCACCUUGAACAAGCCUGAUGUCUGAUCUCGGAACCUAAGCAGGGUCGGGCCUGGUUAGUACGUGGAUGGGAGACCACCUAGGAAGACUAGAUGCUGUAGGCA
rnacentral:rRNA from 1 species